AUGCACGCUGGCGGCGUGCUUAACACCUGCCAGUCGCACGGAAAGGCUCCUGCUUGCAGGGGUGCUCGAGUGGCGAACGGGUGAGUAACACGUGGGUGAUCUGCCCUGCACUUCGGGAUAAGCCUGGGAAACUGGGUCUAAUACCGGAUAGGACGAUGGUUUGGAUGCCAUUGUGGAAAGUUUUUCGGUGUGGGAUGAGCUCGCGGCCUAUCAGCUUGUUGGUGGGGUAAUGGCCUACCAAGGCGUCGACGGGUAGCCGGCCUGAGAGGGUGUACGGCCACAUUGGGACUGAGAUACGGCCCAGACUCCUACGGGAGGCAGCAGUGGGGAAUAUUGCACAAUGGGCGCAAGCCUGAUGCAGCGACGCCGCGUGGGGGAUGACGGCCUUCGGGUUGUAAACUCCUUUCGCUAGGGACGAAGCGCAAGUGACGGUACCUGGAGAAGAAGCACCGGCUAACUACGU
rnacentral:rRNA from 1 species